rnacentral:misc_RNA from 1 species
UCCUGGUUAACCCAGGCAGUCUCGUUAGAGUUCCCAUCUUUACAUGUUGGCAACUAACGAUAAGGGUUGCGCUCGUUGCGGGACUUAACCCAACACCUCACGGCACGAGCUGACGACAGCCAUGCAGCACCUGUGCAGUGGUCCCGAAGGAAGAGUGCGUUUCUGCACUUGUCCACUGCAUGUCAAGCCUGGGUAAGGUUCUUCGCGUAGCAUCGAAUUAAACCACAUGCUCCACUGCUUGUGCGGGUCCCCGUCAAUUCUUUUGAGUUUCAGCCUUGCGACUGUACUCCUCAGGCGGUAUACUUAACGCGUUAGCUCCGGCACAACUGGGGUUGAUUCCAGUUACACCAAGUAUACAUAGUUUACGGUAAGGACUAC